GACAGAGGGUGCAAACGUUGUUCGGAAUUACUGGGCGUAAAGCGUGUGUAGGCGGCCGUGCAAGUCGGAUGUGAAAUCCCCGGGCUCAACCUGGGAAUGGCAGUGGAUACUGGCAAGCUAGAGUGCGGUAGAGGGUAGUGGAAUUCCCGGUGUAGCAGUGAAAUGCGUAGAGAUCGGGAGGAACACCAGUGGCGAAGGCGGCUACCUGGACCAGCACUGACACUGAAGCACGAAAGCGUGGGGAGCAAACAGG
rnacentral:rRNA from 1 species